rnacentral:rRNA from 1 species
GGACGAACGCUGGCGGCGUGCUUAACACAUGCAAGUCGAACGGAAAGACCCUGCUUUUGUGGGGUGCUCGAGUGGCGAACGGGUGAGUAACACGUGAGUAACCUGCCCUUGACUUUGGGAUAACUUCAGGAAACUGGGGCUAAUACCGGAUAGGAGCUCCUGCUGCAUGGUGGGGGUUGGAAAGUUUCGGCGGUUGGGGAUGGACUCGCGGCUUAUCAGCUUGUUGGUGGGGUAGUGGCUUACCAAGGCUUUGACGGGUAGCCGGCCUGAGAGGGUGACCGGCCACAUUGGGCCUGAGAUACGGCCCAGACUCCUACGGGAGGCAGCAGUGGGGAAUAUUGCACAAUGGGCGGAAGCCUGAUGCAGCAACGCCGCGUGCGGGAUGACGGCCUUCGGGUUGUAAACCGCUUUCGCCUGUGACGAAGCGUGAGUGACGGUAAUGGGUAAAGAAGCACCGGCUAACUACGUG